rnacentral:rRNA from 1 species
UACGAAGGGGGCUAGCGUUGCUCGGAAUCACUGGGCGUAAAGGGUGCGUAGGCGGGUCUUUAAGCCAGGGGUGAAAUCCUGGAGCUCAACUCCAGAACUGCCUUUGAUACUGAGGAUCUUGAGUUCGGGAGAGGUGAGUGGAACUGCGAGUGUAGAGGUGAAAUUCGUAGAUAUUCGCAAGAACACCAGUGGCGAAGGCGGCUCACUGGCCCGAUACUGACGCUGAGGCACGAAAGCAUGGGGAGCAAACAGG